AACGAACGCUGGCGGCAUGCAUAAUACAUGCAAGUCGAACGAUCACUUCGGUGGUAGUGGCGCACGGGUGCGUAACGCGUGGGAAUCUGCCCUUGGGUUCGGAAUAACGUCGGGAAACUGACGCUAAUACCGGAUGAUGACGUAAGUCCAAAGAUUUAUCGCCCAGGGAUGAGCCCGCGUAGGAUUAGCUAGUUGGUGGGGUAAAGGCCUACCAAGGCGACGAUCCUUAGCUGGUCUGAGAGGAUGAUCAGCCACACUGGGACUGAGACACGGUCCAGACUCCUACGGGGGGCAGCAGUAGGGAAUAUUGGACAAUGGGGGCAACCCUGAUCCAGCAAUGCCGCGUGAGUGAUGAAGGCCUUAGGGUUGUAAAGCUCUUUUACCCGGGAUGAUAAUGACAGUACCGGGAGAAUAAGCCCCGGCUAACUCCGUGCCAGCAGCCGCCGUAA
rnacentral:rRNA from 1 species